UCAAUGUCAUCGGAGGAUUACAUUCGCAUGCAUCGAUUGAAUAAAACGAAGCCAAUCAACAUUAAUUAACGUGCUCGAGUCGUCGAUGUUGUUGCAGUUGAUUGGAAGUGAAUCUGGUGCGCUCAUUUAAAAGAAAACAAUUUAGCGUGGGAGACGGUCAAUAACCCAUGUAAAAAUACCGAUUUCUGCGUAUCCGACAGAAAAAAAACUUUUAUUUUCCGAGGCGAAAAACUCUGGGAGAAAAAGGACGAAAAAAAUCAAUAAUUCGCAGGCGAAUCCCCGCUUUACUGCGGCACAGAUAGUGCACAGCUAUAAAUACAACUGUAAAUAUAGCCGUUGCAAAAUGCUGAAGCCGUGGAAACGAAUCCUUCUUAGAAAAAACGUACAUCAAGCAUUUGUGUAUCUGAAAUAGAACGCCCCAUUCGGGCUUUAGUUCUGUGGGGGGUUUUCGUAAGGAGAGGCAGGACCAGACGUUCCGACUACAAGAAACAGAUUAGUGAAGCCAAGCUAAUACAUUGUUUAGCGAUCGAUAAUUCAGUGUCAGAAGAAUUCAGAUUUUGACAACUUCAGUGCCCUUAAAUUCAGAACACUUGAUCAGAAGACGAUGAAGACUCAGAAAAUAAAUUUGAGGCAACGUGCGGUGUACCAGACCAUAGCCGACGUCCAAGAUGUAGUCAGAAACAUCUGCUUCGGCUUAAUAAUCUUCACAAUGAUCGUGAAACAUCUGCUGAGAAAUCUGACUGCGGUGGAUUUGACUUAUUCGAAGUACGGAUUCGUAUGAUUAAGCCGCAAACUUUGAAGACCCAAAGAGCCUGUGAUCGUUUAACUUAUUCGUAUUUGCGAAACUCGAAAGUCCGACAAAUUUGGGCGAGAGUUUAUAUAAUUUUCGUUACCCAUUUUGUACAUACACUAUAUGUUAUUGUAUUAGGCGUAUGAGCAUUUCAUAACGCCAUGAUUGGAAAUUCGCUUUCUACUUAAGCAUUAAGAAACUCAAUAUAUAUUAUUAUUUUUAA